UACGAAGGGUGCAAGCGUUACUCGGAAUUACUGGGCGUAAAGCGUGCGUAGGCGGUUUGUUAAGUCCGUUGUGAAAGCCCUGGGCUCAACCUGGGAAUUGCAGUGGAUACUGGCGAGCUAGAGUGCGGUAGAGGAUGGUGGAAUUCCCGGUGUAGCGGUGAAAUGCGUAGAGAUCGGGAGGAACACCAGUGGCGAAGGCGACUACCUGGACCAGCACUGACACUGAGGCACGAAAGCGUGGGGAGCAAACAGG
rnacentral:rRNA from 1 species